rnacentral:rRNA from 1 species
AAAAGAUCAUAGUAAGACUAUCUCAAGUGAAACUGCGAAUGGCUCAUUAAAUCAGCUAAGGUUCCUUAGAUCGUACAAUCCUACUUGGAUAACUGUAGUAAUUCUAGAGCUAAUACAUGCAACAAGCUCCGACCUUCCCUGGGAAGAGCGCUUUUAUUAAAUCAAAACCAAUCGGUUCCUUCGGGUUCCGUCCAAUUGGUGACUCUGGAUAACUUUGUGCUGAUCGCAUGGCCACGACCCGGCCACAUAUCUUUCAAAUGUCUGCCCUAUCAACUUUCGAUGGUACCUGAUAUGGCUACCAUGGUUGCAACGGGUAACGGGGAAUGGGGCGGGGGCGGCGGGCCGGGCGCGGGGCGCGGCGGGCGA